rnacentral:rRNA from 1 species
GAUGAACGCUGGCGGCGUGCCUAAUACAUGCAAGUCGAGCGAACGGACGAGAAGCUUGCUUCUCUGAUGUUAGCGGCGGACGGGUGAGUAACACGUGGAUAACCUACCUAUAAGACUGGGAUAACUUCGGGAAACCGGAGCUAAUACCGGAUGAUAUUUUGAACCGCAUGGUUCAAAAGUGAAAGACGGUCUUGCUGUCACUUAUAGAUGGAUCCGCGCUUCAUUAGCUAGUUGGUAAGGUAACGGCUUACCAAGGCAACGAUGCAUAGCCGACCUGAGAGGGGGGUAGCCAACACUGGAACUGGAACACGCUCCAGACUCCUAGGGGAGGCAGCAGAAGGGAAUCUGACGCAAUGGGCGAAAGCCUGACGGAGCAACGCGGCGUGGGUGAUGAAGUUCUUCGGAUCGUAAAACUCUGUUAUUAGGGAAAAACAUAUGUGGAAGUAAAUGUGCACAUCGUGACGGUACCUAAUCAGAAAGCCACGGCUAACUACGUG